rnacentral:lncRNA from 1 species
GCUGUGGAGUGGACGGUCCUAUUGUUUCCUAAAACCUCAAAGGAGAGAAGGAAGAGGAGGAAGUGCAGGAGGCAGAGAGUGAAGAAUUUAGCAUCUUCCUUUAGACUCCCUCAUGAAACUUAGAUUUUCUCUCUUUUUUUUAGGUUAAAUAGUUCAGAAUAAUCGACUUUCGUUCCCUGUUGGCUGUAGAUAUUAAUAAGGUGCUUUGAUAGGACAAGGAUGUGACUGCCCUCUCUGUCAUGUCCCUGUGGAUGAUGAGAUGCAGAGGAAGUGUUGCAGUGAAGAGAUUGAGUGUGUGUUUGUGGGAUUUUGUGUGUGUGUGUGUUUUAAGAAGUCUGAGGGGGAGGGAUCAAGUUUUUGAAGCUUAUGCUAAAUCAGGGUCAGUAAGAAGAAGGGGUGGAGCGGGAGGCCAGACAAAGACAGAAGAGGAUGCUGCCACUGGCAUUUAAAUGGGCACAUGAGGGUGAAGUCUAAGAAAAGCGGCAGGGGGAGAGAAAAGAAAGAAGAAGAGGAGGAAAAAACAAGGGGGAGAAAAAGCGUAGAGUUUCUCCGGCAUGGCAGACAUUUUUUUCUGGCUCCUCAAACAGAUGCUGAGGCAGAUGGUGGUGAAUUAACAGAAGAUGGGAGAAGAAGAAAUGAGAAAGCCUAAAACGGGCCCAUGGAGGGCAGACAUUAAAACACUGCAUGUGUUUGUGUGUGUGUAUGUGUUUACGUGUGUGAUUGUGUGUGUGUGUCUGAGCGCACAGGUCCAGGGGAGAGGCUGUUAAACAGUAUCUCAGCUGGGAGGACUAAAGAGGAUGGGUGGAGGAUUCCCAGUCAGAGAUAGAGCUCGCGAUAAUAAUCACAGGCGUGAAAUUACAAUGCUGAUAUUUGUUGCACCCCAGGGUGUGGUGUGGUGGGGCUACCGGAGCUCGGAGGGCCCACAUAUCACUAGAGGCCUGCACUGGCUGACGGUCAUCAAUGUUCAGAAGAGCGGCCCCUUGCCUCCUCACCCCUGCCCAGUGUAGAUCCAAAUCAUUCAGCAGAGACGCGACUUUAAAAACCAUCAGCUGAAGAGACUGUGAGGAAACAGGGGGAUUUACAACUCAGUGUUUCUUUAGUUUUUGUUACAAAAUGAAAAAGAUCAGCAUCAUAUUCACCAACUAAAUUAACAAUGUGCCAGUUAUUCAUGCAGAAUUAGCAAACUACUAACUUUGAAAAGCAGUGUCUGUUUGAAUUUGUGUCUUUUAUUUGUUAGAUGUUAAAUCUGUUUAAGGCUUCUUUAAAAAUUUCUGAUCAGUUAAAACCCACUGAGCAUUUUUUGGUCUAAGAGAACUCUAAGACGUCUUAGUGUGGCCUAGACCGCUGGUCUAAAAUCAGGAUACCACAGGUCUAUAAAUGAAAGUUUUUUAGACGUCUAAAUUGAGACCAAGUUUAGACUAAAUCUAAAUCUGGGCUAUAUCUAUACUACACUUAACAGCUAUCAUAAUUAUUUUGGUUAGGUAAUUGGAGAUCAGUUAUAUAACUCACAGUUGCUUUUUGAAAUAAAUAGUUAUCGAAUAAUAGGUUAAACUGCAACGUCCAAAUUCCAUCUAAAAAUAUACAGAACGUAGACGGUUGAAAUUAGGUCUAAAAAAAAACAAAAACUAGACGUCUAUUGCUCGGUGGGAAUAGACUAGAAUAGAUAGAUUGGGUCUUUUAUACCAAGAGGUGAUUAUAAUCUCUCACUUGGAUGUUUUCCCUCCACCUCAAUAGACACCUUACAAAGUGAUUAAUAUGUGAUUGAUACUGAGGUCUCAAAAAGGAAUUUUUAAUAUUUAGAGGUAAAGACUUGCAAAAAUAACAGAACUACUGCUUUGUCUGCAGCAGGUGCCUAUAUUUUUAUAGACUGAAAGUUGCUUAUAGAAGCUUUAAGGCCUGUUUGACAUCAUGUCCGCGUUAUAAAAAAAAGAUCAUGUCAUUUUUUUCCACCUUACUUCUCAUGAGCAUUUAACUUUGAAGUGGUCAUGUUACUGCCCCAGCUUCAUGUUUAUUUCUCGAUGUAAAAGAUCCUCAUAGUUGGUUUAAGCACUUACUAAUGUUAAAGAAGUUCAGGAAACUAACAUGGCCGAUUAACUGAGCUUAUCUAACUUCUUUAAUGUAGUUUACAACAUUAGUUACAAUACAGACAUUUACAUAAUGUGUUUAAAUACAUAUGUAGUAACCUCACCCCCCCUGUAAUUCUUCCCGUUCAAAAGUAAAAUCAGGAGCUGAGAGGUGGCCGGACCUUCCUCAGCAUGAAUUUCCUCUUGGACAGCGUCCAGGCUCUGACAAGAUAUGACACCACAUUUUCUCCCAUCCAUUCAGUGAAGGAGGGAAAAAGAGGAGCUCAUUUUCAUGUCUAUCAUCUCCUGCUCCUGCCUCCGCCUCUGUGAAGGCCCCCUUACGCCUACCCUAUUUGUGGGGUGAAAGUGAAAAGUAGAUGUGUUGUCAGGGCAAAACUGAUAAUGGCAGUGAGACACAGACUGAUCCCAAUUGCCCUGCUUUCAGCCCCUGCCACCCCAUACACCCCACCACUAAAGGGUCCACUGACAGACGGGACGGGGCACUGUGAGACUGAGUGCUGAGUUGGCAUAAAAAGCGGACCGAAUCGACUUCUUUCUUGGCAUCGUCAAUCCACACAAAUAUUUUAUUGUUGGCUCUGUAACCAUAUGCAUUUCCCUCAUCAGUCAGCAUGAAAAGCUCCGAAUUUAAACAGAAUAGCGUAUAAGGCUGCCUCUUCUCUAUGGACAAAGCAUCUAGGAAUUCAUUGUGAAUAAUUUUUGUUAGAUAUUUUUGGUACAUUAUAUCAGGGUCAUAAAAAUCUGAGCGAAAAUACAUACUCAUUACUAAUAGCAGAUCUAUUCAUGGCGGAUCUUUAUGCGGCAGACAUAGGCCUGGCUUUGCCCAUAAAAAAUGACAGGACAGCUAGUUAUCAACUUUAUGUUUGAUUUGUCUGAGUUAUCACCAAAAGAAGACCUGCAAUCAGAAAUUUACUUUGAUCAGUUGCCAAAUGGUGAAUUAUUGAUGUACUGAAUCACUAGAAUCAGUUCACUAAAAUGAUUCGUUCAAAAGAUUCACUGCUGGUUUUAUGCACUACCUUGUUACAUGCUGUGUCCUAUUGUAUGCAAGUUGUUGUGGUGGUUAGCACCUGUUAGCAGUGAAAGAAAAGGGAGUUUUGUUUGACAAAAAUGAUUCCAGAGAGUGUAGUUCAAUGUGUGAAUCGUGACAGCUCAACUGACGUGAGAAACGAAUGAAUCACUUGAGGAAGUGAUUCGGUUCAGUGCGUUUACUUAAAAGAUUUGGUUCUUUUGAACGAAUCAUUCACGAAACUACCAGUUUGAUCCCCUAAUCAAGUUAUUGAAGUAGCACGCAUGUAAACGUACUGACUGUUGACUUCGAGUUCUCUAAUGUGUCUUAGCUUCCUUGCCUCUUCACUCUUUGGUUUCCCUCUUUUUUUGAUAUUCGCUCUUUAUCUGCUUUGAGACACACUUGAAGCUACAUUCCAAACUUUGACUUGGAUCUGGGACCAGAGCCAGUCGAGCACAGUACCUCCACUCUGCCCCGCUGUGUUUAUUUUCCCCCCAUUUCUAAAGUAGCCAGGUGCCCACAAUGCACUGUGGUUAUCACUUCACAGGCCCAUUUCAGUCAGAUAAUGUUCACCUCUCGGCAGAGGGAGAGAUAACUCAGGGGAUCUAUCAGCAGAAGGAGCAAAGAGUGAAGGCCAUUAUAAUGUCAUCACAAGUUCUCCUGCCCACCCGAAAAGUCCCCGAGAUUUAAUAUUGUCCUCCUGAGAGUGAAAACAGGACAUGAAAGAGAGAAAAAGAGAGGCAUGUUGACAGACAGGAAGUGAGAGGAGGAAAGUACUUGGGAAUAAUGACAUAUUAGGGUAACAUAUUUAUGCAGAAGCAUGUUGCAUUGGAGCAGGUAUAAUGUAUAAGCUGCCUGUUAGAUUUAUUCCACAGAGAAUUGGCUGGUAAAGAUGCACUUUAUCUUCAGACAUGAAAACAGCCCUUCUGCUCCGGCACAAUCCCAGCAGGGGCUUGUGGGAAAUUGCUGUUUUUACAUUUCUGUAUCAUUUUUCCCAGAAGGAAUAUGGAUAACAAAUGAAAUAUUCAGCCCCAUUGUCUGAUUUAUUCCUUUUAUUAUCCACAAAUAUCAGCCCGGCAGUCAAAGGAUGCCUUGCCUCAUUCGUGGAGGGGAAUCUUUCCCACUUGGGGCCUUGACAGCCUAUCAAGUCUGCUCGCAUAAACAGGUCAGGACCGUGUGAGCGUUCCAAUAUGUUAUACUUUAAGCUUUUCACCAUGCACAAUCACUAAACAGAAAUCGAAAAUUACUGAGGAAAAAAAUCCCACAGGUACCUGUUUUUGCGGGCCCCUCUUCAAAUAUCAUUAAACCCACACAGGAGUCUUAAAUAAUGCAAAGCUGUUUUUUUAAAACUCCUGUAUGUUUCUUUUUGAGCUUGAGGUGUGUGAUCCCCCCUGCAGUAAACCCCUCUAUUCUUGUUAUGUCUGUUUGUAAAGCCGCAGAGACAGAUGCCUGGUUACGGCGUCGUCUUAACACAAUAAGCCUCAUCAGAUAUUAGUAAUUGACCAUUAAUGAACUCUCCAUGAUAGCCCACUGAGGAAUACACACAAGGGCCCCCAGGGACCACAGGCCAGCAUGGGGAAAGGGGGCCCCCCAUGGCAUUAACAUACUCCCAAGGCUACAAGAGGCUUUUAAAUGGCCAAUCAAUAAAGAGCAUUAGUUCAUCAUGCCCUCUGCGGGACUCUGGAGGUGUCUGUUGUGUGUCGAGAGGCAGCACAAAAACAGGCAGUCAAGAGGGGCUUUCUCUCAGAAGAUGAAUGUGAAAAACUAAACACGAGCUCAAUUUGUCCCACGUGGAAGUCAUCUCCCAUUAUCUUUUUCCAUCAGGGAACAGAUUCAAAGCUUUUCUGUGCUUAAAAAAAUCAGUUUUUACUGAUGCUGCACAUUCCCAAAGCCCUUCUCCUACAGGACAACAUCAACAUUUUAAGCACUACUGUAAAACCAGGACAAGGGCAUCACAAAUAUCAUGUGACAUUUACUGUACAUAUCCCAUUAGAUAGCUAUGAAUAAAAGCUAGACCUGCUCUGCACGGCACGGUUUUAUUCUUAAUUUUCUCAUUUGUGUUAUAUGGCACAAUGAAAUGGAUAUCAUUACAUAGAAUAGCACUAUCGUACAAAUACCAUGCUGUGUCCUUGAAGGCGGCAUAAUAAAUGGUUCAUCACCGGCAACCAAAUGGCAAGACAAAUUUAUGGGUGCUGAUCUGGCUCAUCAUCAGAGUAAAGUACUCGGUAAAAUUUCAUUGUAACUUCCAGGGAAAUAAAUAAAUUUGAACCCUGACCUUGAAGGGGGGGAAAAAUCUCCUCCCACCCAUCGAGAUGAGAUGAUGGACCCCUCCUCCUCCUCCUCCUCUCCUUCUUUUUCAAUCACCUCCAUACAUCUUACCUUCUUUGGCACUGUGUCCAUACACAGACAGGCUAAAGAUAGGUGUCCCACCUUUACUCGCUUUGUACCGCCACCCCCUCUGGGAUUCCUGUCUCCUCUUUUCUGCAGAAAUAUCAGCCCCCCUGAGGAGCAACCACAGACAGGAAGGGUGCAAAAACACAGGAGAGAAGGGAAAGAGAGAAGGUAGAGGCGAGAAAGGGCAAGAAAUGACAGUUGAGGAAUAUGCAGAAAGUCUCUGUUUAAAUCAAGAUAAAAGACAGAAAUGGAGAAUAAUCGAGGGAACAAACCUCAGGACGCUGGCUCCUAAUGGAAACACAUGGCUGAGGGCUGAGGUGUUGUCAGCAGUCUGCCUCCGCAUGCUGACAUUCCCGCCUGAUAAUCUGGUCCUGCCAUAAAAUUAGACUAGCAAAUACCCCACUGACAGAGAUGCAUGUCCUCUCUCUCUCUCUCUCUUUCUCUCCUUCUCUCUCUCUCUCUUGUGCCACCAUAAAAAAACUCCUGCUGGUGUCUCCUAACGCCACAAACUUCAAUUUAAAUUUACAGCGCCGCAAAAGGAGAAGUGAUAUGCAUUCAAAGAUUUUAAUAACCUAUUAAGUUAUGACUUCAAUUUCAUUUUUAUGAAUAUUUUCCUUGGGGAGUGCUGCCAUCGCUGGAGAAAGACAGAAAUUUAAAAAAGAUAAAUAGUGCCAUUAAUCCAUAACAUUUCUCUCCCAUUAUUCUCGAGAACGUGAAGUUAUUUUUGCUCAGAUUGUCUUAUAAUUAGCUCCUUAUACUUGACUCACAAACCAGAAAAUGACCACGUUGGAAGAAAUGUGAAGUCUGUCAUUUGGCUGGGGAUAAAAUCAUCAUUCGUCUUCAUAAAAUGUCUAUGUGACAAGCAGCAUUUGAAGUUGAUUAGGUUUCAGUAGCUUUAUUAAUAACAACUCCUGGAUCAGAGGGAAGUAAGUCCACUCUGUGAGACGGAGCCGCUGCAAAAGCCAGAAAAUCUCCUUUUAUUUUGAAGGAUCGCUCCACAAUAAAUCCUCAGAUGUCAUUUAUAACCCAACAUUGUGCUUUUACUGCAUAAACUGGUUUUAAGCCACAAAACUAUUAAACAAGUCAUCACAACUCCACUUUGCAGAGGGCGAACGUGGGAGUGCGGCAGAGUAUAAUAGCUUUAAUCUGUCUGUUGUUUGUCUCAUGGGCAUUAAACACCAUCUUGAUAUGAGUGAGACUACAGUGCACACAGGGGGGGUCCUCAUAAUAUUUAAUAGGUCAUCAAAGGGAAUGGGGGGUAGACUGCUGACAUUUGCCUGGAUAGUUAGGAGAAACCCCAGGAGUUGUCACAUGACUCAUUACCAGAGCGCAGUCGACGUGACACUCGGUUGCAUCAUCAUUCAAAGACGGAAAAAUCAUAAUCCAAAAGAUAUCACUAUUCAAUUCACAAUGGAACCAUUAAACUAGCAUGAGAUUUUGAUUCUUGUUUCCACUCCGAAAAUAGAGACUAAUCAGUUAAUAAAACUCCAUUACUGACACAAUGAGUGAGACACCGACUGUGUGGAAAAAACCCAGCGAGUACAGCAGCAGCUUUUCACAGACGGGUAAAGAUACAGCUGGAUUAUAUUUGGACUCUUCCGCUCUCGCUGCAACUCUCCCUGAAG